rnacentral:rRNA from 1 species
CUCCUACGGGGGGCAGCAGUGGGGAAUUUUGGACAAUGGGCGCAAGCCUGAUCCAGCUAUUCCGCGUGUGGGAUGAAGGCCCUCGGGUUGUAAACCACUUUUGUAGAGAACGAAAAGACACCUUCGAAUAAAGGGUGUUGCUGACGGUACUCUAAGAAUAAGCACCGGCUAACUACGUGCCAGCAGCCGCGGUAAUACGUAGGGGGCAAGCGUUAUCCGGAUUUACUGGGUGUAAAGGGAGCGUAGACGGUGAUGCAAGUCAGAAGUGAAAGCCCGCGGCUCAACUGCGGGACUGCUUUUGAAAC